AAACCGUGUUGUGGGCAUGAACUGACAAGAUCCUUGAACUGCUCUUAACAUUAAAAGAAUGUUUCAUCUUCCUUUUUUGCGAAGUUCAUGAUCGACUUCCUGAUGGU